rnacentral:rRNA from 1 species
AGUGAACGCUGGCGGUAGGCCUAACACAUGCAAGUCGAACGGCAGCACAGUAAGAGCUUGCUCUUACGGGUGGCGAGUGGCGGACGGGUGAGGAAUACAUCGGAAUCUACUUUUUCGUGGGGGAUAACGUAGGGAAACUUACGCUAAUACCGCAUACGACCUACGGGUGAAAGCAGGGGAUCUUCGGACCUUGCGCGAUUGAAUGAGCCGAUGUCGGAUUAGCUAGUUGGCGGGGUAAAGGCCCACCAAGGCGACGAUCCGUAGCUGGUCUGAGAGGAUGAUCGGCAACAUGGAAACGGAGCAACGUCCCAACCUCCACGGGGAGGCAGCGGGGGGAAUAUUGGACAAUGGGCGCAAGCCUGAUCCAGCCAUACCGCGUGGGUGAAGAAGGCCUUCGGGUUGUAAAGCCCUUUUGUUGGGAAAGAAAAGCAGCAGGUUAAUACCCCGCUGUUCUGACGGUACCCAAAGAAUAAGCACCGGCUAACUUCGUG